UUGAACGCUGGCGGCAUGCCUUACACAUGCAAGUCGAACGGUAGAGGGGCAACCCUUGAGAGUGGCGAACGGGUGAGUAAUGCAUCGGAACGUGCCCAGUCGUGGGGGAUAACGCAGCGAAAGCUGUGCUAAUACCGCAUGUGAUCUGUGGAUGAAAGCAGGGGACCGCAAGGCCUUGUGCGAUUGGAGCGGCCGAUGUCAGAUUAGCUAGUUGGUAGGGUAAAAGCCUACCAAG
rnacentral:rRNA from 1 species